GGGGGCGACCUGGCUUCGACGUGGGUUGCAAAACUUCAGAUGCAUGUCGUGGGGCGAAUACCACGUAAAUACAGUCGCAUAAAUAUAGUUGCAAACGACAACAACUACGCUCUCGCCGCUUAAUACCCGGUAGGGAGCCGUCUGACUGGAGCCGUGUCUGUGCGUCCAGGUUUCAGGCGUCAUAUCUCACAGAAUCGUGUUGAAGCUUGCCCGGGGCCGAUACAUUAAACCUUAACCGGAAUCGUCGUAUGUACAGGCCCUGAUUGCCGGGUAGUCCGGGUAGUCUGCGAUUAAAUUUAAUAGGUAAUCUAAACAUGUAGAUUCUGUAGCGGAGGACUUGCGGACGCGGGUUCGAUUCCCGCCGCCUCCACCA
rnacentral:tmRNA from 1 species